GACGAACGCUGGCGGCGUGCUUAACACAUGCAAGUCGAACGGAGUCGCGCACGGGUGUGUAACACGUGGGUGAUCUGCUUUGCACUUCGGUAUAAGUUUGGGAAACUGGGUCUAAUACCGUAUAGUUCAAGAUGAGCGCGCUGCCUAUCAGCUUGGUGGUGGGGUAAUGGACUACCAAGGCGUAGACGGGUAGCCGGCCUGAGAGGGUGUACGGCCACAUUUGGACUGAGAUACGGCCCAGACUCGUACGGGAGGCAGCAGUGGGGAAUAUUGCACAAUGGGCGGAAGCCUGAUGCAGCGACGCCGCGUGGGGGAUGAAGGCCUUCGGGUUGUAAACUCCUUUCGACAGGGACGCGGUAGCUGUAUAAGAAGCACCGGCUAACUACGUGCCAGCAGCCGCGGUAAUUC
rnacentral:rRNA from 1 species